rnacentral:rRNA from 1 species
CGCGUAGGUGGUAGUGUAAGUCUGGGGUGGAAUCCCAGGGCUUAACCCUGGGACUGCCUUGGAAACUGUAUUACUUGAGUCAGUGAGGGGAGGGUAGAAUUCCUGGUGUAGCGGUGAAAUGCGUAGAUAUCAGGAGGAAGGCCUGUGGCGAAGGCGGCCCUCUGGCGCUGGACUGACACUGAGGCGCGAAAGCGUGGGGAGCAAACAGGAUUAGAUACCCUGGUAGUCCACGCCCUAAACGGUGGGCACUAGGUGUAGGGCUCGUAAGGGUUCUGUGCCGAAGGGAAACCAUUAAGUGCCCCGCCUGGGGAGUACGGCCGCAAGGUUGAA